rnacentral:tRNA from 1 species
GGCAGGAUGGUGAAAUGAUAUCACGCAAGCCUCUUAAGCUUGUAUUUUAGGUUUGACUCCUAGUCCUGCGACCA